GGGAGCAGCUCGGGGGGGGUCUCUUCACCCCCAUCUCCUCCACCCGCGCCUCGUAAAUCCCGUUCAGGGCCAGGUUCCCCAGCGAGCACAUCAGCUGGGGACCCCAAAACCACCCAGAAUCACCCCAAAAUUACCCCAAAUCACCUGGGGACCCCAAAAUACCCCCAAAUCACCCCCAAAUCAGCUGGGGAACCCCAAAAACAUCAGCAAAACACCCCAAAAUCAGCUGGGAAACCCCGAAUUCCCCCCAAAAAUCCCCUCAAGAUCCCCCAAAUUCCCUCCAAAGCCCCUCCCAGUCCCUCCCAGUAUAAUCCAGUAACCCCCAGUUCUCUCCCAGUCCAUCCCAGUUUAUCCCAGUUUGAUCCCAGUUUAUCCUAGUCCAUCCCAGUAUAAUCCAGUAACCCCCAUUUCUCUCCCAGUCCAUCCCAGUCCACCCCAGUAUAACCCAGUCCAUCCCAGUUCCAUCCCAGUCCAUCCCAGUUUAUCCCAGUUUGAUCCCAGUCCCUCCCAGUAUAACCCAGUCCAUCCCAGUCCCUCCCAGUCCAUCCCAGUAUAAUCCAGUAACCCCCAGUUCUCUCCCAGUCCAUCCCAGUUUAUCCCAGUUUGAUCCCAGUUUAUCCCAGUUCCCUCCCAGUCCAUCCCAGUCCAUCCCAGUCCAUCCCAGUUUGAUCCCAGUUUAUCCCAGUGCUCCCCAGUUCCCUCCCAGUAUAACCCAGUCCAUCCCAGUUCCGUCUGUUUAUUCCCAGUUCCAUCCCAGUCCAUCCCAGUUUAUCCCAGUUUGAUCCCAGUCCAUCCCAGUCCAUCCCAGUAUAACCCAGUCUCUCCCAGUCCCUCCCAGUUUGAUCCCAGUCCAUCCCAGUUCCCCCCAGUCCCCGCCCACCUUCACCAGUUCGGGUUCCCACGAGUCGAGGGUGAGCGACCGAACCUUGGAGAAGUGAACGCCCAAAC
rnacentral:lncRNA from 1 species